GAGGUACUCUCUCUGUUCAAAAAAGCUUGUUCCUCAAAUGGAUGAAUCUAGCAUCAAAUUAGUGCUAGAUACAUCCAUUUAAAAGAUAACCUUGAGACAAGUUUUUCCGGACGGAAGAAGUAUGUU
rnacentral:pre_miRNA from 1 species